AACCAUUCUCACCUGCGGCUAGACCUGCGGAAGGAUCAUUACCGAGUGUGAACCCCCCCGUAAAAAAGAGGGGUUACCUCCCGUCCUUUGCUGGGAACCCCUUUCCAACUUGGAAGGAGGUUGUUUUCAGACCCUUCUGCUUCGGUGGGGUAACCCACCGGAACAACCUCAAAAAUAUUCUCAAUUCAAAACCGUUCAGUCCGAGAACUUUUUUGAAAAGCGAAAAAACUUUUAACAACG
rnacentral:misc_RNA from 1 species